UAUCAGUUAUGCAUUGUUUAAAAUUUUUACAAUAUUUAUAAGUUCUUAAAAGUUUCAUUAAAAGGCUAAGGCCCAAUAAACCUGGGUCCAUUACAAAGAAGCAACAAAGCCCCGUAGGGUAGUUUUUGCUAACUGUUCAGUUUCCCGAUUCAGAUCACGAGGGAUGUGCGAGAAAGAGAUUUCCACAAAGGCAGAGAAGAUGUGGAGGAUAUCGCUGAAGAUUCCUAUGAUCUCUUUUGCAUGAUGCUGUUGAUUAAUAGCUCUGAUGAGCGUUUAAUUGUCGGAGCAAACCCUGAGCCCUGUGAUGUCAAGAGCCGCUGCCUGAUAAAGGCUUGAGCGGACAGCGAGGGCUUCUCCGAUUUGAGGGGAUCUGACGAAGUCUUGAAUCCAAGAACCCUGAAGUGAUUUUGUACUUGGGAGGCCAGUGACUGUCCAUGCAAGUCCGGUUGUUUGGUGUUCCUUGUUCCAUUUUACAGAGAACCUAUCCUGCGAUUGUUGAUGUUGGUAGUCGUCGGUUCCCACCAUUCGUUUCUUCAGUUGUCGAGUCUUUUGCCUCAAAAACUAGGAGGUUGCGAGCUUUCCAAAUCAUCCAACAGAUCUAGGGGAGAAUCUGGGUUGUGACUCCAGUUGGAGGUAGACAUGUAGACUUUCAGAAUCUCCUUAUGAAGUCUGUCUCACCAACAACUAUGUGAAGUGUUUCUAAUCGAGGUAUGUUAUCCCAGACUUUCUUUGCAAAAGGGCAGAAAAGGAAAGUGUGGAUUGCCGUUUCAGGUUGUUUGCAUAUAUACUUACUCCUCUCUGUUGCAAGUUUAUUCCAAGGGGUAAAGCAUUUUGAGCCACAAACCAAAGGAAAGUUUUCAUUUUAGAGUAGUAACCAGAACGUGUGGAGUAUUUGCUUGAUUGGAGCGGUUGCCAGAUGAAAGAGUCUUCAGCUCCUUCUCUGCUUGGUUGUAGACGCUGAAUCUCUGUAACCAUCUGAAUGGCCAUUAAGACAGACUUCAUCAUUGGUAGUUUGCCCGCUUUGGAGAGAUGUUUUGUGGCCCAACUAGCUUGAUGCACGUUGUCUGGUUUUGUCCACUAAAAAGGAUGUGUAUCUUGUUGCAAGAAGAGGUGUCCGCAUGACAGAAGAACACUGUGUUAUCUGCAAACAGCAGAUGAUUGAGUCUUGGGCAUCCUCUUACCGUUCUGAUUCCUUUGAAGUGUUCCCUAUAAGUUUUUAAAACAAAUUUGUAAAUCAUUAUACACUACUAUAUUAGUUUUAUAAACGAUUUAAUCCGUCCAGAAACUA